AUUAUAUUUAACAAAUCAUGGAUUAAUUAAUAAUAGGCAUUUUCAGUGAAAUCCAUUGAAGCAUAAUGUGGAUAGUGGCAAGACUUUGUGCUAUGCUGCAAUUAACUGUUGGCUCAUGUGAUUCCCAACUGUAGUAGUAGUUUGAGAAUGUCAAUGGCCUGUGAGGCAAGUAACGGACCUACUUCUGAGAUUGAUAAUGAAUCUGACUACCAAGCCUCGAAGGCAUCCGGCAUGAGUAGAAGACUUUGCCAUUGGGUCCACUCCUGUCAAAAUAACUCGGCCCAAGCCAUUGGUAAACCCCAGUAACAACAAAUUUUGUGGGGAUGGCAAUAGGGAGGGGAGGGGAGGGGAUCAAUCUCUCUAUACCCAUCUCCGAUAUUUUGCGUAUGUCUCGUUUUCUCCCGGUCUCUGUCAGAAUUACUUGAGAGAAUCUUCAUCCCCUCCCCGAAUAAUAACAGGAGAUUCCCGAGGAUUCCUGAGGAUCCUCGAUCCCCGAAUAAUUAAUACAUUUUUUGUUUUCGAUUUUGAGUUAAUCAUAUUAAAAUAAAAAAUUCAAAUAAAAGUAAAGUUUGAAAUAUAUCUUACAUUAAUAUCCAUUACAAAAGUCACAUACAUUAAAUUAGUAAGUAACACAGCAUGUAAAUUAUACAAACUUCUUUUACAAACUAUCGUGAAUAAAUUAAUAGUUUAAUACAAAAUUGUUACAAAUAAAAUCGAAUUUAUAUUCAAAAUUAACUUUUUCAAUGGUGGCGUGGGCACUUUAUAAAAUGUGGACUAUUCCCUUUACAGCACAAUAGUUAAGUCGGAGCAAAUCAAGAGCAAAUAUUAGAUUAGAUAUUAAAAUUGUGAUUCGCUGUGGGCAAUUAUAACAUCUAAAAAUAAAAUAAAAAUAGAUUUAAGUUUAAAACAUUUAAUGAAUACUAAAAUUAAAACAAAAUUUUUGGGCUAAUAGAAUUUACCCGGUUUUUUUAAUGUCCU
rnacentral:lncRNA from 1 species